GGGGCUGUGGCUCAAUGGAAGUGCCUCUGAUCUGCAUGCAGAAGGUCUCAGGUUCAAUCCCUGGCAUCUCCA
rnacentral:tRNA from 1 species